GGACUACUGGGGUAUCUAAUCCUGUUUGCUCCCCACGCUUUCGCGUUUCAGCGUCAGCAACGAGCCAGAGGGCCGCCUUCGCCGCCGGUGUUCCUCCUGAUAUCUACGCAUUUCACCGCUACACCAGGAAUUCCACCCUCCUCUCUCGCGCUCUAGCCUGCUAGUUUCCAGUGCACUUCCGGGGGUAAGCCCCGGGCUUUCACACCAGACUUGACAGGCCGCCUACACGCCCUUUACGCCCAGUCAAUCCGAACAACGCUUGCACCCUCCGUCUUACCGCGGCUGCUGGCAC
rnacentral:rRNA from 1 species